UACGUGGGUGGCAAGCGUUAUCCGGAUUUAUUGGGCGUAAAGGGAACGCAGGCGGCCUUUUAAGUCUGAUGUGAAAGCCUUCGGCUUAACCGGAGUAGUGCAUUGGAAACUGGGAGACUUGAGUGCAGAAGAGGAGAGUGGAACUCCAUGUGUAGCGGUGAAAUGCGUAGAUAUAUGGAAGAACACCAGUGGCGAAAGCGGCUCUCUGGUCUGUAACUGACGCUGAGGUUCGAAAGCGUGGGUAGCAAACAGG
rnacentral:rRNA from 1 species